rnacentral:rRNA from 1 species
UACAGGGGGGGCAAGCGUUGUUCGGAAUUACUGGGCGUAAAGGGCUCGUAGGCGGCCAACUAAGUCACACGUGAAAUCCCCAGGCUUAACCUGGGAACUGCGUGUGAUACUGGAUGGCUUGAAUUCGGGAGAGGGAUGCAGAAUUCCAGGUGUAGCGGUGAAAUGCGUAGAUAUCUGGAGGAAUACCGGUGGCGAAGGCGGCAUCCUGGACCAAUUCUGACGCUGAGGAGCGAAAGCCAGGGGAGCAAACGGG